GACGAACGCUGGCGGCGUGCUUAACACAUGCAAGUCGAACGCUGAAGCUCAGCUUUUGUUGGGUGGAUGAGUGGCGAACGGGUGAGUAACACGUGAGUAACCUGCCUCCUUCUUUGGGAUAACGCCCGGAAACGGGUGCUAAUACUGGAUAUUCACUGGUCUUCGCAUGGGGGUUGGUGGAAAGGGUUUUUCUGGUGGGGGAUGGGCUCGCGGCCUAUCAGCUUGUUGGUGGGGUGAUGGCCUACCAAGGCUUUGACGGGUAGCCGGCCUGAGAGGGUGACCGGUAACAUUGGGACUGAGAUACGGCCCAGACUCCUACGGGAGGCAGCAGUGGGGAAUAUUGCACAAUGGGCGCAAGCCUGAUGCAGCGACGCCGCGUGAGGGAUGGAGGCCUUCGGGUUGUGAACCUCUUUCGCCCAUGGUCAAGCCGCAACAAUGGUUGUGGUGAGGGUAGUGGGUAAAGAAGCGCCGGCUAACUACGUG
rnacentral:rRNA from 1 species